GAUGAACGCUGGCGGCGUGCCUAAUACAUGCAAGUCGAGCGAACGGACGAUAAGCUUGCUUCUCUGAUGUUAGCGGCGGACGGGUGAGUAACACGUGGAUAACCUACCUAUAAGACUUGGAUAACUUCGGGAAACCGGAGCUAAUACCGGAUAAUAUUUUUAUCCGCAUGGUUCUAAAGUUACAGACGGUCUUUCUGUCUCUUAUAGUUGUUUCCGCUCUGCAUUAUCUAGUUGGUAAGGUAACGGCUUACCAAGGCAACGAUGCAUAGCCGACCUGAGAGGGUGAUCGGCCACACUGGAACUGAGACAGGGUACAGACGCCUACGGGAGGAAGCAGAAGGGAAUAGUCAGCAAGGGGCGAAAGCCUGACGGAGCAACGCCGCGUGAGUGAUGAAGGGCUUCGGAUCGUAAAACGCUGUUAUUAGGGAAGAAAAUAUGUGUAAGUAAAUGUGCACAGCUUGACGGUACCUAAUCAGAAAGCCACGGCUAACUACGUG
rnacentral:rRNA from 1 species